UAAAUGCGCAUGCGCGGCCGCGCCUCAGACAAUGGCGGGGGGGGUGAGGAGGGAGAGGCGGGGGGCUCCGGCCGCUGCUCCAGACCCUGCUCCGGUUCCUUCCCGCUCCCCCGGGCCCUGACCCCGGUCCCGGCCCCUUCCCGCUCCCCGGGCCCCGGCCGCGGCCUUCUCCCGCCGCCCCGGGCCGCCGCCAGCCCCGCUCCCUUCCCUAGGCCGCGACCAGGCCGCGCUCACCGCUCAGGCCGCGCCGUUGCCUGGCAACCAGCCCCCCCCACCCCCCGCCUGCUUUCCCCCGGGCAACGGCGGGCUGCUCUGACGCGACGCCCUGGCCACGCCCCCUCUCGGCGGUGACCACGCCCUCUCCCGGCGGCAGCCACGCCCCUUCUCGGCGGCGGCCACGCCCCCCCACGUGCUGCCUGGCUCCUGGGGCAGCGCCGGGUGCUUCAGGCCGAGCCGCUGCCCCCGGGGUGGGGGGGAUAGGGCCGGGGGGGGGUUAUGGGACCCCCCCUUUGGGCACAACCCCUUGAUUUUACCACUGUGGCAUCGCCUGGCGCUGGGGGAAACUAAAAUAACGCGACAUCUAGGCCGACCUGUGCUGAAGAGGGAGCCGGAGGCCAAAUAUCUGUGCUGUAAUGGGCAACGUUUCGCUUGGCAUCCUGUUACGGGAACCCCCAGGAGCCACCGUGACUGUGUCCCUCCGUUGACGUCGCCUGGCGUCCCCACUGCCCUGCCCCGAGCCGGGGGGCUCCUCGGGAGCCCUCUGGGAGAUGGAAAACUGUCCUGCUCACGGCAGAGCGGCGCUCGGAGAGCCUGGGGCUGCGGGACGGCUGCUUUGGGGACGUCCGGCUCCGCAGCAAUGACCGGCCAGCAGGUAAAACCCCGUGGCGCGGAGUCAGGGUGGCUUCACCGGCUCGAAUGAGCCCCGUUCCCGGCAAGGAAAGGCCUCGCGAAGCGCCAACGGAGCUGGCGGGGUGUUUGGUGCCGGAUCUGCCCCCCCUCCAGCUCCGUUUCAGGCUCUCCCUUCACGAGCAUCUCUCGGGGCCGCGGGUGACGCCAGCUUUGCCCCCCUCCCGCCUACGCGGGCCGCCAGGGACCUGCUUGAUGUCACCCGCGCCCGGGAGCUCCCGUGGCGCCAGAUGGCCGAGCACGUGUUUGAGGUGAGGCGCGAGAACGGCCCCACGGCUUUUUUUUGCUGCUGUUUGAACCCAAAAUGGCAUCAGGAGCCCUGGAAAACUACAGAGGUCUGGAGUCCUGCUGGGUGACGCAUCCAGUGCUGCGGCUUCCCAAAUUGGGGAAGAGGAGGCUGAGCUGAUUACUGGCCUCCUAAUUAAACAACUCCCAGCUCCGCUUGGGCCUGAGGUUGAGAAUUGGCUUCGAGAAAGCUCUAAGACAAGCGCCAGCCUCCGCCGUGGGAAUCUCUCCCUUCGCUGCUGCUUCUGGGGGACGGAGAGGGCCGAACUGCCGCUUCACCCGGCCCGGACGCAUGCGGGAGCCUUCAGCCAGUGACUGGGGGGGGGGAAAGAGGCAGAUCAGAGCCCCCCGCCCUGAAAAAAAACUAAGUCAGACGUGGCCCACGCUGUGGCCGGGACAGUGAUUUGCACAGGGCAAAAUGCUGUGUUGUAGUCGAGUGCUGUGUAUGUAGGAAACUGGUUUAAUAAAGGAUUUUAAAGUG